rnacentral:rRNA from 1 species
AGAGUUUGAUCAUGGCUCAGAUUGAACGCUGGCGGCAUGCUUUACACAUGCAAGUCGAGCGGCAGCGCGGGGGCAACCCUGGCGGCGAGCGGCGAACGGGUGAGUAACACAUCGGAACGUGUCCUGUGGUGGGGGAUAACCUGGCGAAAGCCAGGCUAAUACCGCAUGAGCUCGAAAGAGGAAAGCGGGGGAUCGCAAGAGCCUCGCGCGACAGGAGCGGCCGAUGUCCGAUUAGCUAGUUGGUGGGGUAAAGGCCCACCAAGGCGACGAUCGGUAGCUGGUCUGAGAGGAUGAUCAGCCACACUGGGACUGAGACACGGCCCAGACUCCUACGGGAGGCAGCAGUGGGGAAUUUUGGACAAUGGGGGCAACCCUGAUCCAGCCACGCCGCGUGCGGGAAGAAGGCCUUCGGGUUGUAAACCGCUUUUAGCCGGGAAGAAAAGGCACGGGUGAAUACCCCGUGUUCUUGACGGUACCGGCGGAAUAAGCACCGGCUAACUACGUGCCAGCAGCCGCGGUAAUACGUAGGGUGCGAGCGUUAAUCGGAAUUACUGGGCGUAAAGCGUGCGUAGGCGGUUUGCCGUGUCCUGUGUGAAAGCCCCGGGCUCAACCUGGGAAUUGCAUGGGAAACUGGCAGGCUUGAGUGUGGCAGAGGAGGGUGGAAUUCCGCGUGUAGCAGUGAAAUGCGUAGAGAUGCGGAGGAACACCGAUGGCGAAGGCAGCCCUCUGGGCCAACACUGACGCUCAGGCACGAAAGCGUGGGGAGCAAACAGGAUUAGAUACCCUGGUAGUCCACGCCCUAAACGAUGUCGACUAGGUGUUGGGGAAGCGAUUCCUUGGUACCGUAGCUAACGCGUGAAGUCGACCGCCUGGGGAGUACGGCCGCAAGGUUAAAACUCAAAGGAAUUGACGG